GACGGAGGAUGCAAGCGUUAUCCGGAAUUAUUGGGCGUAAAGCGUCCGCAGGUGGACAUACAAGUCUGCUGUCAAAGUGCAGAGCUUAACUCUGUAAAGGCGGUGGAAACUGUAGGUCUUGAGUAUGGUAGGGGUAGAGGGAAUUCCCGGUGUAGCGGUGAAAUGCGUAGAUAUCGGGAAGAACAUCAGUGGCGAAAGCGCUCUACUGGGCCAUAACUGACACUGAGGGACGAAAGCUAGGGGAGCGAAAGGG
rnacentral:rRNA from 1 species